AUCCCCAAUCAACACCCACCGCAGCUAUCAUUCCAAAGCAUAUGCGUCCACCGCCACCACCCAGUGAAGUGACCAACCCUCCCUCCCUUGUCAGUCAAAUCACUCAAAUUAAGCAUACGUGUAGCUCUCUAAACUCGUCCACCUAAUUAAUCAAUUAAUUAUCUCAGUCGACAAUCAUUCAACUAGACUAGAGCACAAAGCUAAAAGGCGGGUUCGAAAGUGAAGGAAGGCGUGCAAACUCCCAACCAUUCGUACACUACACCAUCCAUCAUUAUCAACCUAUCUCUUUCAACUUUAGUACUACAUGCCAUGGUGCUGCUGCUGCAUAUACCCCCAUUAUUCCACGAUCUUCCAUUUUAAGAGACUCGGCUCUCGCCCAAGUUUAAUUUGUGCUAAUUAAUCUGUCUUUCCCUCUUUCACGCGCAAAGCCAUGGGAUGGGAUGGCCAACCAUCAGCGUUGAGUAUUGCCUAUUGCCGGCGCAUUCUCAUUAAACUGGAAAUCAAUAGACAGACAGACAGGGCAGUCGGCCUACCUACCCUAUCCCCAACCCCACCACCUAACCGGGGGCGAUGUGGCAUGAGGUGAUGGCACAUGUCACCCGCCGUCCAAUUGGAGGGCGGAUAAUGAUAUUGGUGCGUGCGGAGCGGAGUGGACUUGAGUUGAGUGAGGGCGAGGGCUGAUGUUACGAAUGAAUGAUUAUCCCAUUACUAGUUUCUUUAGCAGUACAAUAUUACGAUGAUGACGAUAGUGAGACACGUGGACGGUCCAAGGCGGUUGGGCGGCCUCCAGACAUCAAAAUCAAAAUCAACACGACUGAAUAGAUGGGCUCCGGUCAGAACAGGCCUCAGCCCAUAAGCUUUUCGUUGGUCUUGCUGGUCCAAGUCCAACACAUACACAUGCUGGAUGAUUAGAUUGGAUUGGAUUGGAUGGAUGACAAAUUUGCGCAAUCUUCUCUUCUCUUCCUUCUCUUCUCGUCUCAGGAGCCAGUCAGGACCCGCCCCGCUGAGCCCAUUUUAGCUUUCUAACAACCCAACCCAAUCUUUAGUUCUUUCUUACUUCUUUAUUGAUUUAUUCCCCCCCCCCUAUUUAUUGAUUUUUUAUUUUAAACCCACUUCCCUCCCCGCUCCCUCUUUGGAAUUUAAACCCUAGGCUAGGAACGCCAUCGCCAUCGUCAUCGCCGGUUCAGCUCAUUUCUUCCUCUUCAGUCUUCCAUUUUCUCGUUCCCCUUCGCGCCACGUUCUCCUCUCCUCUUCUGCGGAAUUCGAGAGCUUUGUAUCUACAGUUCUUUUUCGCAUGGAAGAACAACCACCCGAAUUGGCUGCUGAAAAUACGCCCGAUAUAUGUUCCGCUACUUCGCAUUCCAUAUCACCUCGCAAGGAGGGACUUGGUGGCGCCGACCAUCCGGACGACACCUUCUCCUCUCCCACACCAGUCAAGACGAAAGAACCAUCACGCCCCAAGAACAAACAUGACCUAGCUCAACUGCCACACGAGUUUAUGGGCUUGCUGGAGUUCUUCAAUCGCAUGACUACCUCGCUGAGGUUGCUAUCCCUGCGUCGACGGGCAACGUCUUUUCAGAACAUUAGCACUCAAGUUGAGAUCCUGACUGGAAGAAAAUUCCACUUUAUGCACCUGGCGCAAAUAAAAUUCGUGCUUCCUGAAGCAGUUCAGAUAGAUAAAAUUCUCACAAAUGAUGAGACUACCAAGUGCAUGAAGUCUGAUAUGAACAUCACACUGAAAUUUGAGGUUGUAAAAGAUCAUCAUGAAGAAUCUGUGUUUCUGGCUCUUAGCAAUCUUUUCUUGACCAGGCUAAGGCAUAUCUACAUUACACAACCUCAGGAUCAGCUACCAGAAGCUGAGUUACCAGGGCCAUUCAGCCCAAGAAGUAUCACUUUUCGGGGAGAUUCAAUCCCUGAAGACUCAUCAAUUUUCAGUGAACCAGAGACAAGAAAUUCAUCCCAUCUCCCUCCUAAUUUUACAAAAUCCUUUUAUCAGAAGACUGCUGCAGGAAGUAUUAAGCAGACUAACAUUAUUUCACCUGCUAAAUGUUCUUUUACUGCAAGUUCGCAGACUAAUGUAGCCAAAGAGAACCCCCAGUUGCUUUCUGGUAUUUCUGUUGACAGUACAAAGACUUCGGAUGACAACCCUCCUGUAGAGCUUUUUGUUGGGUGCAAUAGUCUUUCUGUUGAAACACCAGUACGGUUUACUCCAGCAAGACCAAUUUUGCCAACCAAAUCAGUUCUUAGCUGUGAAGAUGAAAACAAGACAAACUUAAGUCAAAACUGGAUACAGUCAAGUUCAUCUGCUAAAAAAUCAUUGGAUUUUUAUAGUAUGAGCGGCAAAGGAACAAUUUUCUCACAGAAACAAAAAUCUUUUUGUUUAUCUGAGCUUGUCUUGUUAAUUAACAAAAUAUUCCAAUCUGUCAACUUCUGCCCAAUUACAAAGGAAGAACUUAUUCAGAAGGUUAUUACAAACUAUCUGGAGCUUGAUGGCCAGGGUGAGAUUGAAAUGCAAUUGGAGCACCUUGAGGAUCUGGUUCCAGAUUGGUUUUCUAAGAAAUUGGCAUCUAGUGGUGAUCUUCUGUACAAUGACAGCCUUGCAUCGUUUUCCAUUCACCUGAUAUAUGUGCCUCUGGAGAAGCUUUCUGCUCCUUGAUUGCUUAUAUUGCAAUUUGGUUAGACAGCAAUUGGGAUUUCAAACUGUUGGAUCAUUUCUCAAAUCUCAUUGCACUGCUAUCUUUCAGCUGGUUGGGUCAUAUUCUUGGACCAUGGUAGUAGUUCGGUGACUAGGUGAAAAAAGUAUCAGAUCUGAACUCUAUCUGUGAGAAGGUCAACAUCAUGUGAUCGGAGGCAAAGUUGGCUUGGUAAGAGAAAGAUCUCCACAGCCCAUACCGUAGGUAGAAAUAUAUUGGUUGGGUCAUCCAACCCAUUCCUAGCCAGUCGAUCUCUUAUGCUUUUGGCAACAUUCUGGGUUUUAUGAUAUCAAGAAUAUCCACAGAUACAUUGUAUGCACUUGUACCUGUUUGCCAUGAGAAAAUGUAAUGCUUGAGCUUAGUGUGUUCAAUCAAAGAUCUAUAAAUUGUCUACUCUGGUAAAAAGGCCACAUAAAAUAGAUUAGCACAAUGAUGUGUAAUGCAUGCUCUGCAAAAGAAUUUGCCUACUCAUA